rnacentral:lncRNA from 1 species
CCCGCGGCCCCGAGCUGGUGACAGGCGUGGACUGAUUUAGUGGCCUGAGCCCAUGCCCCUCCCCUCCCACUGCAGUCCCAGCAGCCCCCACUGCUGGGGGCUACCAAGGGCUCCACCCCCUGGGGACGAGGAGAGUCUCAUUAUGAGACGGGAGGGGGGAGUGGUGACGGAGAGGGAUGGUGGCGGUGGCAGAGGCAGAGGAUGGGUGGGGGCAGGGCGGGGGGCGUCCCCACCUAGGAGUGGAGAGACUGUUGAUGUUCAGGCUGCCCAUCAGGGUAUGAGCCUGCCUCGCCCAGGCCUCAGUUUCUCCAUUUAUGAGUCUCCAUGCACCAGCUGUGCCCUGAGGAUCCUGGCUCCACCUCCGGCCAAAUUCAGUCUUGUCUUUACUGCCCACACUCGCAAGUCCAUGGCGGCCAACAGGAAAGGUUCUGUCCACUCCCCACCGUCUCCAGCUACAAUUGCUGCUCCGUAUUUCCACAUUUCCCUGGAAUUGAGUCCAUUUCGCCAGCCUCUGCUCAGAGGAGCCACCUCCCUUCCUACCACAUCACCCAGAAGCAUCGCUAGGUGCAGCCGCACUCCAGGAGGGGACUCCGUAGGCGUGUGCAUCCCUGGGGCCAUCUCAGGCUGCCAGGCAGACGCUAUGAUGAGGAGAAUGCAGAAGGAGCAGAGGGUGUCUUCUAGCUUCAGCCACCUCCAGCCAGGAGGACGAGGUCAGAGACCCCACACAGUCCCUGCGGACUCCAGGUCUUCUCACACCUGACUCAGAAAAAAGAGAAAUUCUUGGGCCACACCCGGGGCUUCUUGUGAUUUGCUUCUUCCUGCUGGAGCCUGAGUCCCUCUGAAGUGCCUGUGAGUUGUGGCUGCGUUCAUGUCUGUCCGUCAGCCAGAUGGUGGGUGCCGUGUCCCUGAACCUGGGUCUCCUGAGCCUGGGCCUCCCGCCGGCCUUUUACAACCUGUGCAUUCCCUCCAGACAGCUGCUCCUCACUCCCAGGACCCCUCUACCAGGGCACCAGCUAGGAGGGAGGCAGAGGGGCCAGGCACUGAGCAGGGGAGGGGCUGGCAGGGACCCUGUACCCGGCUCCUUGGAAAGGACACAGACCCAGAUGGAGCCCGUCCCCUCAACACCUGGCCCGGGCCCCUCCCCAGCUCUGCUAGAAUAAAUCCUCCUCUAACAACCUCCCGCUGCUCUCCCAGCGUCUGAAGAAUGAACACAGCUCCCCAUAACUUUCCAG